rnacentral:rRNA from 1 species
GACGAACGCUGGCGGCGUGGAUUAGGCAUGCAAGUCGAACGGUAUCAUCCUUUCGGGGGUGAGAGAGUGGCGAACUGGUGAGUAACACGUAGGUUAUCUACCCUCAAGACGGGGACAACCCAGGGAAACUUGGGCUAAUACCGGAUGUGAGCAACUUUUAGUUGUUUGAAAGGUGGCGUAAGCUGUCGCUUGGGGGUGAGCCUGCGUCCUAUUAGUUAGUUGGUGAGGUAACGGCUCACCUAGGCAAUGAUAGGUAGGCGGCCUUAACGGGUGGUCGCCCACACUGGGAUUGAGAUACGGCCCAGACUCCUACGGGAGGCAGCAGUCGAGAAUAGUCUACAAUGGUCGGAAGACUGAUAGUGCGACGCCGCGUGAACGAUGAAUCCCUUCGGGGUUAAAGUUCUUUUAUAUGUGAGCAGUGCUUCUUAUAUUAACAGUAUGGGGAAGAGAUAUUAGCAUAUGAAUAAGCAACGGCUAACUCCGUGCCAGCAGCCGGGUAAU